GCGGCUAUGGCGGAACUGGUAGACGCGCUAUCUUGAGGGGGUAGUGUCGAAAGAUAUGUGGAUUCGAAUUCCACUAGCCGCACCA
rnacentral:tRNA from 1 species